rnacentral:rRNA from 1 species
UACAGAGGGUGCUAGCGUUGUUCGGAAUGACUGGGCGUAAAGGGCGCGUAGGCGGCUCGUGAAGUCGGGUGUGAAAGCCCGGGGCUCAACCCCGGAACGGCAUCCGAUACUGGCGGGCUUGAGACCGGGAGAGGAGGGUGGAAUACCCAGUGUAGAGGUGAAAUUCGUAGAUAUUGGGUGGAACACCGGUGGCGAAAGCGGCUCUCUGGCCCGGAUCUGACGCUGAGGCGCGAAAGCGUGGGGAGCAAACAGG